rnacentral:rRNA from 1 species
AGCAGUCGCCGCGGUAAUACGGAGGGUGCAAGCGUUAUCCGGAUUUAUUGGGUUUAAAGGGUCCGUAGGCGGACUUAUAAGUCAGUGGUGAAAGCCUGUCGCUUAACGAUAGAACUGCCAUUGAUACUGUAAGUCUUGAGUAUAUUUGAGGUAGCUGGAAUAAGUAGUGUAGCGGUGAAAUGCAUAGAUAUUACUUAGAACACCAAUUGCGAAGGCAGGUUACCAAGAUAUAACUGACGCUGAGGGACGAAAGCGUGGGUAGCGAACAGGAUUAGAUACCCCCGUAGUCCCUGUCUCUUAUAA